UGCAGUCGAACGAAGGCUUCGGCCUUAGUGGCGCACGGGUGCGUAACGCGUGGGAAUCUACCCUUAGGUUCGGAAUAACAGUUGGAAACGACUGCUAAUACCGGAUGAUGACGUAAGUCCAAAGAUUUAUCGCCUAGGGAUGAGCCCGCGUAGGAUUAGCUAGUUGGUGUGGUAAAGGCGCACCAAGGCGACGAUCCUUAGCUGGUCUGAGAGGAUGAUCAGCCACACUGGGACUGAGACACGGCCCAGACUCCUACGGGAGGCAGCAGUGGGGAAUAUUGGACAAUGGGCGAAAGCCUGAUCCAGCAAUGCCGCGUGAGUGAUGAAGGCCUUAGGGUUGUAAAGCUCUUUUACCCGGGAUGAUAAUGACAGUACCGGGAGAAUAAGCUCCGGCUAACUCCGUGCCAGCAGCCGCGGUAAUACGGAG
rnacentral:rRNA from 1 species